rnacentral:lncRNA from 1 species
GAUGUUCAUUAGGUUAUACCUUUCGCUUAUUGCGAUGAUUGUGUUACUCCUAGUACCCAGCGAUGACACUUACAUUAAUACUUGUUUUGGACAAUCUUCGGAUGUUCAUUAGGUUACAUAUUUCGCUUAAUGCGAUGUUGUGUUAGUCCUAGUACCCAGUGACAACACUUACAGUAGUACAUUUUCCUGUUUACUUUAUUUUGUGAUACUUUCACAUAAACGAUGAGUUAGACUAAGCACUUUUAGUACUAGUCAAUACAAAGGAAAAACUAUCAUUUUACAAACAAAACAUUCGGGUCUUG